rnacentral:rRNA from 1 species
AUGACGUCUCGCCCAACCGUGGUGCUCAUCCCGAGCUGGGGAUCCGGCCACUUCAUGUCCGCGCUCGAAGCCGGCAAGAGGCUUCUCGCCACCGGCCGGGGCGCCUUCACGCUGACCGUGCUCGUCAUGCACGCGCCAUCGGAAGCAAUGGCGUCGGAGGUCCAGGGCCACGUGCGCCGGGAGGCAGCUUCCGGCCUCGACAUCCGCUUCCUCCAGCUCCCCGCCGUCGAGCACCCCACCGGCUGCGUGGACCCUGUUGAAUUCGCGUCCCGGUACGUCCAGCUCCACGCGCCCCACGUCAAGGCGGCCAUCGCGGGCCUGGGGCCGUCGUCCCGGGUGGCCGCGGUCGUCGUCGACCUCUUCUUAACUGCCCUAUUCGACGUUCUCCACGAGCUCGCCGUGCCCGCGUACGUGUACUUUUCCUCCCCCGCCGCGUUCCUGGCGCUCAUGCUGCGCCUGCCGGCGCUCCGCGAGGAUCUGACGGGUGCCGGGUUUGAGGCGAUGGAGAGCACGGUGGACGUGCCCGGGCUGCCGCCGGUGCCGCCGUCUUACAUGCCGGCAUGCCUUGUGAAGGCGAAGAUCCAGAGCUACGACUGGUUCGAGUACCACGGCCGCCGCUUCAUGGAAGCCAGGGGCGUCAUCGUGAACACCUCCGUCGAGCUCGAGGGCUCGAUUCUCGCGGCGAUCGCGGACGGCCGCUGCGUCCCCGGACACCCUGCUCCGGCUCUCCACGCGAUCGGCCCGGUGAUCUGGUUCGGCUCGACGGACGACGAGCAGCCCCACGAGUGCGUGCGGUGGCUCGACGCGCAGCCGCCGGCUUCGGUGGUUUUCCUCUGCUUCGGGAGCAUGGGGUCCCUCGACGCGGCACAGGUGAGGGAGGUAGCCGUCGGCCUGGAGCGCAGCGGCCACCGCUUUCUGUGGGUGCUACGAGGCCCGCCCGUUGCCGGCACGCGGCUCCCGACGGACGCGAACCUGGACGAGGUGCUCCCGGAGGGGUUCCUGGAGGCGACCACGGGGAGGGGGCUGGUGUGGCCGGCGUGGGCGCCGCAGAGGGAGAUCCUGUCCCACGCCGCCGUGGGUGGAUUCGUGACGCACUGCGGGUGGAACUCCAUCCUGGAGAGCCUGUGGUCGGGCGUGCCGAUGAUCCCGUGGCCGCUGUACGGGGAGCAGCACCUGAACGCGUUCGAGCUCGUGGCCGGCGUGGGCGCGGCGGUCGCGCUGGAGAUGGACCGGAGGAAGGGAUUCUUCGUGGAGGCGGGCGAGCUGGAGCGAGCGGUGCGGAGCCUGAUGGGCGGCGCGUCGGAGGAGGGGAGGAAGGCGAGGAGGACGGCCGCGGAGACGAGCGCCGCGUGCAGGGAGGCCGUCGGCGAGGGCGGCUCGUCGUGCGCCGCGCUGCAGAGGCUCGUGGGCGAGAUUUUGGUUUUGCCGACGGAGGGAGACGAUUCCAGCUAG